GAAUGGCACCACGAGGGUUAUACUGUCUCCUUUUUCUAAUCAGUGAAACUAAUCUCCCCGUGAAGAAGCGAGGAUGAAUUUAUAAGACGAGAAGACCCUAUGGAGCUUUAAACUUAAUAACAAUUGCUAAUUUCACUUUAUCUUUAUAAACUUAACUAUUACACUAGCAUUCUGAUUAUUAGUUUUAGGUUGGGGUGACCGCGGAGUAAAAAACAACCUCCACACUGAAAGGGUUACUUCCCUUAGCUAAGAGCCACAUCUCUAAGCACCAAAAAACUGACAUUAAUUGACCCAAUUUUUUGAUCAACGAACCAAGUUACCCUAGGGAUAACAGCGCAAUCUACUUCAAGAGCUCCUAUCGACAAGUGG
rnacentral:rRNA from 1 species